rnacentral:rRNA from 1 species
UACGAAGGGGGGCUAGCGUUGCUCGGAAUCACUGGGCGUAAAGCGCACGUAGGCGGAUUGUUAAGUCAGGGGUGAAAUCCUGGAGCUCAACUCCAGAACUGCCUUUGAUACUGGCGAUCUUGAGUCCGGGAGAGGUGAGUGGAACUGCGAGUGUAGAGGUGAAAUUCGUAGAUAUUCGCAAGAACACCAGUGGCGAAGGCGGCUCACUGGCCCGGAACUGGACGCUGAGACGCGAAAGCGUGGGGAGCAAACAGGG